rnacentral:piRNA from 1 species
UAUAACUCAGCCCUAGGUGAGACACCAA